UACGUAGAUGGCAAGCGUUGUCCGGAAUUACUGGGUGUAAAGGGAGCGUAGGCGGGUGUGCAAGUUGGAUGUGAAAUACACAGGCUUAACCUGUGAACUGCAUUCAAAACUGUGCAUCUUGAGUGAAGUAGAGGUAGGCGGAAUUCCUAGUGUAGCGGUGAAAUGCGUAGAUAUUAGGAGGAACACCAGUGGCGAAGGCGGCCUACUGGGCUUUUACUGACGCUGAGGCUCGAAAGCAUGGGUAGCAA
rnacentral:rRNA from 1 species